rnacentral:rRNA from 1 species
GUUAGGAAUAUUGGACAAUGGGCGAAAGCCUGAUCCAGCCAUGCCGCGUGAACGAUGAAGGCCUUCGGGUCGUAAAGCUCUGUCGCAGGGGAAUAACACAAUGAAGGUACCCUGUAAGAAAGGAUCGGCUAACUUCGUGCCAGCAGCCGCGGUAAGACGAGGGAUCCUAGCGUUGUUCGGAAUCAUUGGGCGUAAAGCGGAUGUAGGUGGCUAAGUAAGUCAGAUGUGAAAGCCUGGGGCUCAACCCCAGAAGUGCAUUUGAUACUGCGUAGCUGGAGUGUCGGAGAGGUUACUAGAAUUGUUGGUGUAGUGGUGAAAUACGUAGAUAUCAACAGGAAUACCGGAGGCGAAGGCGGGUAACUGGCCGAACACUGACACUGAGAUCCGAAAGCGUGGGGAUCAAACAGGAUUAGAAACCCCAGUAGUCC